GCACAGUUGUUCUGACAAGUGCAAGAUAGCCAGUGGGAAUGAGAUCUUUAAUCCACCGAAUGCACAUUGCGAGGAGAACGGCUCUGGGAUGAAGCUCUCUGGUCGCUACGAGGUUUCCUUGGCUUGAGAUAACGCUCUUGACUCACGUUGCGGCAGUAAGAGGUUAUGCUCGCUUGCUGGCUCUGAGAUUCUGCUCUGAAGGAUUGCCAUCUGGUGGCCUUGUGCUGGAAAGCCACCGCUACAGCCAGGGAUGGAGUGGCACUUUGCACCGCUCGGUUUACCUGUGCACAUCGCCGCUCCACGUCCCCUCUGGGGCAGGCACUGGUGCUGAACCCUGGCAGGACAGAAGCGCCUCUGCCAGCGCCAGGCCAGCCAGACUGGGGAGCGAAGCUGGAUGUUUCAAAGUGGCUUUUCAGUAAUGAGCGUACUUUUUAGAGCUGAUUCAUCCUUGCUCUGUGUGUGUGCACACGUAAGAGUUUGCAAAAUGGUAACUUGUUUUUUAAAACACUCUAAUAAACACACACAAAACUAAGUAUCACAAAAGCAAAAUAAUUAGUAAAAGUUGUAACAGUAGAAAUCAAAUGCCAAGCAGUCUCAUUAAAUCAACACUUAGAAAUUAAAGCUGAAUACAUUCAGAUUAGAAAUAAAGCUCUUCUUUUAUAGUGGCAGAUCUCAGGAGAUGAGUGAAUUCUCUGUUCCAUGAUGCCAUCCAAUCAAGACUGUGUAGAUGCUUUUCUGAAGAUGCUGUUUCACCCCCAAAUUACUAACCAGAGCGGUUCAAGGACACCUGGCUUCAACCAUCAGGAUGACUUUACGCAGAGGAACUGUGCAUGGACUGAGUUGGAGCGAAGUCUUCUAGAUUCUCUUUCUGGGACACACGAAGGCGAUUCAUGAACCUAUUACCGUCUGUGAUGAAGACCUAUCCUUGGAAAGUACGUGACGAGAACAAACCUUUGCUAUGCAAGGAACCAAAUAAAAGACUCGUAGUGACUUAGGGACAAAAGAAAGAAGAGACCAGGGAUUAGACAAGAUGCUUUCUGUAAUAGUCAUGAAAGAUUCAUCCCAGACUCAUUUCCCAUUCUCCUUUUCCCCCAUUUUAUAUGGUAAGCAACAAAGUCUGUAUAUAACACCAUGCUACUAUAAGCCUAUUGCACCUUAUGUAUUUUAAUAACUUCUUUGAGCAAAGGCAUGUGGACGUUGCUUCUAAUUUUAUUUGGCCCAGCUAGUGCACCUGUCCUUGGCUUGUCAAGGGACAAGGGAAGAAGCUCCAUGUAGAUGAGCAGAGAUCCUGCAGUGAAGGCCCUGGACUACGACACAAGACAUCUGUUUGUAUUUGGAGUGUUGCCCUGAAAAUCACUGUUUCCCUAGAUAAAUCUCAUCUCUCAUCUUUGCCUCCAUUUCCCCCCAUGUAAAAUGCGGAGAACGAUACUGUUGUAUGGUCCAGGGAUACUGUGACAGCAAAGCCAGUGGUACUGGUAGCGCACCCAAAUUAUACAGUGAUAUGCUCAAAGAAAAGCCAACCAUAAAGUGAAUGAAAGAUGAAUAAUACAGGCCAAUAUAAACCAUUUCUUGGAAGUGGUACAGCACAGUUUUAAUGACUCAUGGUCUCGUGCAGUGUAAAACAAUACCAUGGUUCCUGAUAGAACAAUAGCUUUGCGUUGCAUCAUGCAUCCAGCGCUCACAGACACAAGCACAAGAAAGACAGUUUUAUGUUCCGUACUUGCAUGCUUUGCAGCCUUCUGCCCCUUUGCUUCAUAAAGAUUUAGGUUUUUUUUUUUAUUCCAGCUUUGAGCAAAGCCAAUGUUUCUUCCUGAAGAUUAGUAAUUAGAUCCUGUGGCAGCACUUAGAUAUUUUAAUGAUAGGUCCUUUAAAAGCAUCUUGGAUUAGAUAGUCAGAUAGGAAUGCAUGAUAAUAAAUUGAGCAGACAAGGCCAUGUGCUGAGUUACUCGUUAUCGCUUCAAUCCAUUUUGAGCUGUGUGAACAUGCUGACAGUAAAAAAGGAAAAAAGUAAAGUGGGCUUCUUAAAAAUAAUCCUACUUUUUGC